UACGUAGGUGGCAAGCGUUGUCCGGAUUUACUGGGCGUAAAGGAUGCGUAGGCGGACAUUUAAGUCAGAUGUGAAAUACCCGAGCUUAACUUGGGUGCUGCAUUUGAAACUGGGUGUCUAGAGUGCAGGAGAGGUAAGUGGAAUUCUAGUGUAGCGUGAAUGCGUAGAGAUUAGAAGAACACCAGUGGCGAAGGCGACUACUGGACUGUACUGACGCUGAGGCAUGAAAGCGUGGGGAGCAAACAGGAUU
rnacentral:rRNA from 1 species